rnacentral:rRNA from 1 species
CCGUGUACACACCGCCCGUCACACCAUGGGAGUGGGUUGCACCAGAAGUAGCUAGUCUAACCUUCGGGGGGACGGUUACCACGGUGUGAUUCAUGACUGGGGUG